UACAGAGGUCUCAAGCGUUGUUCGGAUUCAUUGGGCGUAAAGGGUGCGUAGGUGGCGUCGUAAGUCGGGUGUGAAAUUUCGGAGCUUAACUCCGAAACUGCAUUCGAUACUGCGGUGCUUGAGGACUGGAGAGGAGACUGGAAUUUACGGUGUAGCGGUGAAAUGCGUAGAUAUCGUAAGGAAGACCAGUGGCGAAGGCGGGUCUCUGGACAGUUCCUGACACUGAGACACGAAGGCCAGGGGAGCAAACGGG
rnacentral:rRNA from 1 species